rnacentral:rRNA from 1 species
UGCAUGUCUAAGUACAAACCGAAUAAAUGGUGAAACCGCGAAUGGCUCAUUAAAUCAGUCGUAAUCUACAGGAUAUCGAUCCCACCUCGUUGGAUAACUGUGGUAAUUCUAGAGCUAAUACAUGCAACGAAGCCCCGGUCCUCGCUUCGGCGACGGGAAGGGCGCAUUUAUUAGACCCAAAAACCGAUCAAAGCAAGACGAUGCGUCGUCGAGCGGUAACGGGGACUCCGAAUAACUCUGCCGAGCGCUUUGGCCUUCGUGGCCGGCGCCGUAUCCUUCGAGCGUCUGCCUUAUCAGCUCUAUCGUAAGGUAUUGGCUUACGACGGCUGUAACGGGUAACGGGGAAUCAGGGUUCGAUUCCGGAGAGGGAGCCUGAGAAACGGCUACCACAUCUAAGGAAGGCAGCAGGCGCGCAAAUUACCCAAUCCCGGCACGGGGAGGUAGUGACGAAAAAUACCGGUGCGGGUCUCCGACGAGGCCUCGCCAUCGGAUUGAGUUUAAACUAAAACCUUGGACGAGUGUCCAUUGGAGGGCAAGUCUGGUGCCAGCAGCCGCGGUAAUUCCAGCUCCGAUAGCGUAUAUUAAAGUUGCUGCGGUUAAAAAGCUCGUAGCUGGACUUUGCGUCCGGCCUGACGGCCCGCCGUGGGAUGUUGGAACGUCGAUUUCGCUGUCUAUCUUUGUCGAAACAGCCGCCGCCGUAGCUCGUUGUCCGUACGCCAUGUGGGCGGCCGGGCCAUGUCGACUCGUGUGGCGUGCAUCGCGUUUUGGCUCUGACGCAGCGGAGCGCGCCCUUCUCCCCGCCGGCGGAUAACCUAGUCAGACCCGGUUCGCCGAAAGUCGCCGUGCAGCGAGGGGUGUCUUGUCUGAUGCGUCCCUAGCGUGCGGCAAUUUCACUUUGAAUAAAUAAGAGUGCUCAAAGCGGGCGCGAAAGUUUAACGCCAAAACGAAAGUGCAUUGAACGAAAAAAUAAGACCUCGACCCCGCCGUUGUUUCGAUCGGUUUCAGGGGGCCGAGGUAACGAUAAAGAGAAGCGGCCGAAGGCACACGUACUGCGUGGCGAGAGGUGAAAUUCGUUGACCCACGCAUGACGAACUGAGGCGAAAGCGUCUGCCGAGUACGUUUUCAUUAGUCAAGAACGAAAGUCAGAGGAUCGAAGGCGAUCAGAUACCGCCCUAGUUCUGACCGUAAACUUUGCUACCUGACGAUCCGUCGGCGUCGUACCAUUGACUCGACGGGAAGUCCCCGGGAAACCUAAGGUUUCGAGCUCCGGGGGAAGUAUGGUUGCAAAGGUGAAACUUAAAGUAAUUGACGGAAGGGCACCACCAGGAGUGGAGCCUGCGGCUUAAUUCGACUCAACACGGGUAACCUUACCAGGACCGGACGCUAAAAGGAUUGACAGAUUGAGAGCUUUUUCUCGAUUAAACGGUAGGUGGUGCAUGGCCGUUUCAAGUUGGUGGUGCGAAUUGUCUGGUUGAUUCCGGUAACGAGCGAGACUCUGCCUUGCUAAUUAGUCGACGAAUCGGCUCUGUUGGACGCGAUCGGACCGCUAUGGGUGUGUUCGUAUCGGGGGAGGUUCGAUGUGAGAUAUCUGUGGAUGUAGUCGCGCGUCGGGCGUUACGGGCGUCGUCGUCRACAUCGGGCGUAAGGUGUGGCGCGUAGAGGCGGGGUUGGUGGCGGGCGGUGGUGGUGAGCGUUGCGAAAAUUUUUCGCUCGUCCCCUCGUCGUCAUUGCUUUGUCUUUGCGUGCAUGCGCUCUAUGCGUCAAUGUCAUGGCGGCGGCGCCACGUCGAUUGCGGCUUCAUUUCACCGCUCCAUCGUUUCCGCCCGGGGAUGCUGGCCGUACGAUCACCGAUCCGUCCAGGAGCGUUCGCCGCAAUACAGUCUUCUYAGAGGAAUCGGCGGCGUUUAGCCGCACGAAAAAGAGCCAAAACAGGUCUGUGAUGCCCUAAGAUGUUCCGGGCCGCACGCGCGCUACAAUGGUAGGUUCAACGUGCUUCGCCCCCYUCCGGAAGGAGAGGGUAAUCACCGUAAGGCCAUGAGACUUCGGUAGGGAUUGGGGCUUGGAAAUAUCCCCCACGAACGAGGAAUUCCCAGUAGUCGCGAGUC